rnacentral:tRNA from 1 species
GCUGAUGUAGCACAGUUGGUAGUGCAUUCGAUUCGUAAUCGAAAGGUCACGGGUUCAAGUCCCGUCAUCAGCUCCA